rnacentral:miRNA from 1 species
GCAGACACAUUCCAGCCAAUCAGCAGCAGACCCUCCCUCCCAGACCCUCCCACCUCCCGGACAGCAUCCAUUGUGAAGCUGCAUUCUUAGUGAGCUGUCCAGGAGGUGGGAGGGUCUGGGAGGGAGGGUCUGCUGCUGAUUGGCUGGAAUGUGUCUG